GGGCGCUUAGCACAGUGGUAGGGCGCACGCUUUGCAAUAAUCACGUGAUUAUUACGUGCGUGAGGUCGAGGGUUCAAACCCCUCAGCGUCCA